rnacentral:tRNA from 1 species
GCCUUCGUGGUGUAGUGGUCAGCACACUCGACUCGUAACCAAGAAGUCUGAGGUUCGAUUCCUGGUGAAGGCU